rnacentral:lncRNA from 1 species
AGCAUGCAAAUGAUCUGUAUGAUGCCCAGGUUCUUCAGGUUCGAGGGAUCAAGGUCCCCUCAGGUGACAGCCUCCCCCAUCUUGUGAGCAGGGGACUUGCAGCAGCCCUAAGACCACCUCUUCUUUGCUCCUGUGACUUGGUGUUCAAGCUCUCUGGUCACUGACCCUUUGAAGUUUGCAUACUUGUGCGAGAUCCCUGGAUAUAGGAAUCAUGAUCUAUUUCUUUGAACCUACAGCAGCAGGAUUGGAAUCCUGUGAGUCCCUGUUCCUUCAUUGUGUGACAGCGCCCUUUGCAUGUGCUUGUGUUCCCAGGAUUGGAAUGUCACAUGGCACACCAGCAACCCUGACUUUACCAAGUGCUUUCAGAAUACGGUCCUCACAUGGGUGCCUUGUUUCUACCUCUGGUCCUGUUUCCCCCUCUACUUCCUCUAUCUCUCUCGACAUGACCGGGGCUACAUCCAGAUGACACACCUCAACAAAGCCAAAACUGCCUUAGGAUUCUUUCUGUGGAUCAUCUGCUGGGCAGACCUCUUCUACUCUUUCUGGGAAAGAAGUCAGGGAAUGCUCCUAGCCCUGGUACUACUGGUCAGCCCGACACUGCUAGGCAUCACCAUGGUGAGGGUUGGCUGGUGGGGCUGGCAGCAAGAAAUGGAGGAUGUGGGCUGUGGUGUGGCUGAGUGGUA